rnacentral:rRNA from 1 species
UGUGUAGGCGGUUCUCUAAGUUUGGUGUGAAAUCUCCCGGCUCAACUGGGAGGGUGCGCCGAAAACGUGGGGGGCGUAGAGUGCGGGAUGGGAGAGUGGAAUUCCUGGUGUAGCGGUGAAAUGCGUAGAUAUCAGGAGGAACACCGGUGGUGCAGACGGCUCUCUGGACCGUAACUGACGCUGAGACACGAAAGCGUGGGUAGCAAACAGGAUUAGAUACCCUGGUAGUCCACGCCCUAAACGAUGCAUAUUUGGUGUAGGUCAUUCAGUUGAUCUGUGCCGGAGCUAACGCGUUAAAUAUGCCGCCUGGGGAGUACAGUCGCAAGGCUGAA